AGUGGGAUAGCUGGGUUGAAUAGUGGUUGCAUUCCAAGUUUUCUGAGGAAUCUCCAUACUGCUUUCCAUAAUGGUUGUACCCAUUUGCAGUCCCACCAGCAAU
rnacentral:pre_miRNA from 1 species